GGGCAUGCCAAGAUGGCAGCCGUUGCGGGCCUUUACGGAUUGGGCGAUGACUCCCGUCAUCAGCGUCAGCGGAGGCAGCAGGCCCAGCAGGCGAACCAGGACAAAACCGACAAAACGCCGGACGGGCUAAGCGAACCGUAAGUUCCAGUGUUCUAAUGACAAUCAACAAGAGAAUUUGCCCGCAUCAGCGAUUUCACCAGCAGUAAUUGCUGAAAUUGAUCAUGGAACUAAUUAUUGGGUUUCCACUUUUGCCAAACUGACUGAUAGAGCUGAAGGUAUUUUGAGAUCAAAUUAAAUCUGAUGGUUUCAUCAGACUGAAUGACGCUUUGUGUCGAUGACAAAUGAUAUAAAAUUCGUCAACGAUCCGUGAUAAUACUUUAUAUUCGAUUUAUAGCCAUGCCAACAAUUUUUCAUACUGCACCUAAAACUGAAAAUAUUCUUUAACCUUAGAUUUUAUGUUUUAUUUUAUCUCUUGCAAAUAAGUUUUGAAAUUAACAACAUAUAUCCAUCGGCAAAAAACUGAUUAUUUUCGAAGAAUUUUCAAGAGGUAAUUAAAUGUAAGGUAAUUAUUUAUGAAAUAAGGAGUGAAAAGUGGAAAGCAAACAACAACAAUACAUGAAAAGUAAACAUUUAAAAAUAUGAAGAUAGAAUCAUAUGAUGAAGAAUAAAAUGUUUCUUGUUCAAAUCGGAAUCUAUGGUUUAAGAAAAUAAAAAGUGAAAAGUAAAGUCCUUGAAGAAAAACCAAAAAUUGAAAAAUAAAAAUAAGACUGUAAAUUAAGUAAAGGUAGGAAAAUGAAAACAAAGGGUAGCAAGAGACAAAAAAAGAAAGAAUAUGCAAUUAAAAGAGAAAAUAGUUAGUUAAAUUCGUAAAGGAACAGUAACAAGCAAUAAGUGAUUAGUUAAAAGUUAUAAGUAACAAGACAAAAGUGAAAAGUGAAAAACAUGAACAGCAGAAAAUGAAAAACUAAUUUAUAAGAAAAGAGAGAAAAAGGAUUAAAUAAAAAAUAGAAGUAAUGAACAGAAAAAGUAAACAAAAGAACGAACAUACAGAGUAAGAAGUUAAAUACAGAAUUGAAACGGAAAUAUUACCAACAUAAAAAAAUGAAAAAAGGUGGAGAGAAAAAUGUUACCUGCAAAUGAAAAAGGAAGAACCAAAGAGGUAAAGCAGAAAGUCAAAAAUAAGAAAUGAAAACAAAAUCAACGCAAGUCAACUAAACAGUGGAAAGUUAGAAGUAUCGAAAAAAAGAAGUAAAAAGACUUAAUGUAGUUAAAUUCAAAAAGUUUGAAUAGAAAAGUUAAAUUGAAGAGUAAAUAAUUAAAAGUAAAUAGUAAAAAAAUAAGUCCAAAGUGAAAAGUUACUAGUAAAUGGUGGAAAACAAAAACAAAAAAAGAGAUAAGGCAAAAACUAGAACUUGUAGCGUGUAAAGCAGAAGUACAAAGUAAACAAUAAAACAAAGCAGAUAGUGAAAAGUGAAAAGUGAAGAAAAAUAGAUUAAAUAAUUAAAAGUAAAAGUGAAGAGCAAAUAAGGAAUUAACAAAAAGAAAGAAGAGAUGAGUACAAAGCGAAAAGUAAAAAUUGAAAAGAAACAUGUGAAGAGUAAAACCUGAACAAUAAAAACAAAACAUGUAAGAAGUGAAAAGUAACACAUAAUGAGUAAAAAAUGAAUGGUGAGUAAAUAGAACAGACGAUUCAAGAGAAAAUAAUGGAA